AUUGAACGCUGGCGGCAGGCCUAACACAUGCAAGUCGAGCGGGGUUUUCGGACCUAGCGGCGGACGGGUGAGUAAUGCGUAGGAAGCUACCCGAUAGAGGGGGAUACCAGUUGGAAACGACUGUUAAUACCGCAUAAUGUCUACGGACCAAAGUGUGGGACCUUCGGGCCACAUGCUAUCGGAUGCGCCGACGUGGGAUUAGCUAGUUGGUGGGGUGAUGGCGCACCAAGGCGACGAUCCCUAGCUGGUUUGAGAGGAUGAUCAGCCACACUGGAACUGAGACACGGUCCAGACUCCUACGGGAGGCAGCAGUGGGGAAUAUUGGACAAUGGGCGCAAGCCUGAUCCAGCCAUGCCGCGUGUGUGAAGAAGGCCUUCGGGUUGUAAAGCACUUUCAGUAGGGAGGAAGGGUGUUGUGUUAAUAGCACAGCAUUUUGACGUUACCUACAGAAGAAGCACCGGCUAACUCUGUGCCAGCAGCCGCCGUAACAC
rnacentral:rRNA from 1 species